rnacentral:lncRNA from 1 species
GUUUGUAGUGGAAGACUUGGUCAGAGAGUUGUGAGAUAGUGAUUGUUGGUUUAUUGGUGAGGUGGCUGGUUAAUUAUGGUUGUUGGGGUUGUUGGUUGGUUGUGCACAACAGGUGUUAAUUUUUGAUUUUUCCAUUGACUUACAAGGUAGGGGUGAAUGUCAUCAUUUAGGAAGUUAUAAUGAUGAGGGGAAGGAGAGUAUAUCUUGGCGAAGGGGAA